rnacentral:misc_RNA from 1 species
AAGUCGUAACAGGGUAACCGUAGGUGAACCUGCGGUUGGAUCAUUAAUAAAAUGUUUCUCAACCGAGGGUCUCGUUCUUUCACUAGGACUUGCCCUCAACACACACCUGUUGAACUGUAUUGAAGGCCAUGACGCUUCAUGCUGACUGGUUCUUUCACCCAACUCAUACAACCAAAGACCCUUUACAAGGCCUUUUUGACUGGAGCUUGCUCUAGGAAAUUUGACUAUACUAAAGAAAAACAACUUUUGACAACGGAUCUCUUGGCUCUC